UCUACGGGUGGCUGCAGUGGGGGAUAUUGCACAAUGGGGGGAACCCUGAUGCAGCGACGCCGCGUGGGUGAAGAAGCGCCUCGGCGCGUAAAGCCCUGUCAGCAGGGACGAAAAUGACGGUACCUGAAGAAGAAGCCCCGGCUAACUACGUGCAAGCAGCCGAGGUAAUACGGAGGGGGCAAGCGUUAUCCGGAUUUACUGGGUGGAAAGGGGGCGCAGACGGCGAUGCAAGACAGGAGUGAAAGCCCGGGGCCAACCCCCGGGACUGCUCUUGGAACGGCGUGGCUGGAGUGCAGGAGGGGCAGGCGGAAUUCCUGGUGUAGCGGUGAAAUGCGUAGAUAUCAGGAGGAACCCCGGUGGCGAAGGCGGCCUGCUGGACUGCAACUGACGUUGAGGCCCGAAAGCGUGGGGAGCAAACAGGAUUAGAUACCCCUGUAGUC
rnacentral:rRNA from 1 species